UUGCUCUUUAUACAAAUUCUCUAUUAGCUAAGCAACUCGGCUACCAAUAACGUAUUCAUUACGAAUUAAAGCCAAUCUGUAUUUAAUUUUUAUAGGGACAACUAGCCGAACUUCAAUGUUAAUCAAAUGAAUAUUCAUGGCAAGUUUGUGCACAGCCAAAAACCACAACACCAACAGCAGCUCGUAUAGUGACAGCGACAAAAAGAGGACAGAAGGAGUAACAACAACAACAACAACAGCAAACAUACUCACAAAAAAAAAUGUGGAGUGGGAGGGCGGAAGAAAGAGGAUUGGCGGCUGCCAACAAGCGACUUAAUACAGGCCAAGUUGAUGAAGACACAAGACAGAUGGAUAACGGCAGUUGUUCAAUUCGCAUUUCGUGCCUUUCAAUUUGCUGUUUGCGCUCUGUUUUUGCUCUGGUCAACUUAAUUCUUGACCACCAUUUAAUGCAUACAAUUUUUCAGCACUUUCCC